rnacentral:rRNA from 1 species
UCCUACGGGAGGCAGCAGUGGGGAAUAUUGCACAAUGGGCGAAAGCCUGAUGCAGCGACGCCGCGUGAGGGAUGACGGCCUUCGGGUUGUAAACCUCUUUCAGCAGGGAAGAAGCGAAAGUGACGGUACCUGCAGAAGAAGCACCGGCUAACUACGUGCCAGCAGCCGCGGUAAUACGUAGGGUGCGAGCGUUGUCCGGAAUUAUUGGGCGUAAAGAGCUUGUAGGCGGUUUGUCGCGUCUGCCGUGAAAAUCCGGGGCUCAACCCCGGACUUGCGGUGGGUACGGGCAGACUAGAGUGUGGUAGGGGAGACUGGAAUUCCUGGUGUAGCGGUGAAAUGCGCAGAUAUCAGGAGGAACACCGAUGGCGAAGGCAGGUCUCUGGGCCACUACUGACGCUGAGAAGCGAAAGCAUGGGGAGCGAACAGGAUUAGAUACCCUGGUAGUCCAUGCCGUAAACGUUGGGAACUAGGUGUGGGUCUCAUUCCACGAGAUCCGUGCCGCAGCUAACGCAUUAAGUUCCCCGCCUGGGGAGUACGGCCGCAAGGCUAAAACUCAAAGGAAUUGACGGGGGCCCGCACAAGCGGCGGAGCAUGCGGAUUAAUUCGAUGCAACGCGAAGAACCUUACCAAGGCUUGACAUAUGCGAGAACGCUGCAGAGAUGCAGAACUCUUUGGACACUCGCAUACAGGUGGUGCAUGGUUGUCGUCAGCUCGUGUCGUGAGAUGUUGGGUUAAGUCCCGCAACGAGCGCAACCCUCGUUCUAUGUUGCCAGCACGUAAUGGUGGGGACUCAUAGGAGACUGCCGGGGUCAACUCGGAGGAAGGUGGGGAUGACGUCAAAUCAUCAUGCCCCUUAUGUCUUGGGCUUCACGCAUGCUACAAUGGCCGGUACAAAGGGCUGCGAAACCGCGAGGUGGAGCGAAUCCCAAAAAACCGGUCUCAGUUCGGAUUGGGGUCUGCAACUCGACCCCAUGAAGUCGGAAGUCGCUAGUAAUCGCAGAU